rnacentral:tRNA from 1 species
GCCUGGGUGGCUUAACGGUUAAGCACCUGCCUUCAGCCCAGGGCGUGAUCCUGGAGUCCUGGGAUCAAGUCCCACAUCAGGCU